AAACCUGACUGAGAUCUCAAGAGAGAUGUGGCCAAGAAGCUGGAGAAGCUGGAGAAGCGGACCCAGAGAGCCAUUGCAGAGCUGAUCCGUGAACGGCUGAAAGGCCAGGAGGAAAGCCUGGCCUCUGCAGUGGCUGCCAAUAUUGAACAAGAGGCCUGUGACUCCGACUGACAUGUUUUCCUGGUUUAAUUUCUUCAGCACACACAUCUCCUGUCAUGUAAAUGGUGCUUUUUAACUUCUGUAAAUAAACUUUUAUUUAGUAGAGGCA